GACGAACGCUGGCGGCGUGCUUAACACAUGCAAGUCGAACGAUGAAGCGGCCAGCUUGCUGGUGGUGGAUUAGUGGCGAACGGGUGAGUAACACGUGAGUAAUCUGCCCCAGACUUCGGGAUAGCUUCGGGAAACCGAGAUUAAUACCGGAUAUUCAUGGUGCCGCGCAUGUGGUGUUGUGGAAAGAUCUUUUGGUUUGGGAUGUGCUCGCGGCCUAUCAGCUUGUUGGUGGGGUAAUGGCCUACCAAGGCGUUGACGGGUAGCCGGCCUGAGAGGGUGACCGGUCACACUGGGACUGAGACACGGCCCAGACUCCUACGGGAGGCAGCAGUGGGGAAUAUUGGACAAUGGGCGGAAGCCUGAUCCAGCAACGCCGCGUGAGGGAUGACGGCCUUCGGGUUGUAAACCUCUUUCAUCUAUGACGAAGGCUCUGCUCUUUGGGGUGGGGUUGACGGUAGUAGGAGAAGAAGCACCGGCCAACUACGUGCCAGCCGCCGCAGUAAGAC
rnacentral:rRNA from 1 species